GACGAACGCUGGCGGCGUGCCUAAUACAUGCAAGUAGAACGCACAGUUUAUACCGUAGCUUGCUACACCAUAGACUGUGAGUUGCGAACGGGUGAGUAACGCGUAGGUAACCUGCCUGGUAGCGGGGGAUAACUAUUGGAAACGAUAGCUAAUACCGCAUAAUAUUCAUUAUUGCAUGAUAAUUAAUUGAAAGGUGCAAUUGCACCACUACCAGAUGGACCUGCGUUGUAUUAGCUAGUAGGUGAGGUAACGGCUCACCUAGGCGACGAUACAUAGCCGACCUGGGAGGGUGAGCGGCCAAACUUGGACUGAGACACGGCCCAGACUCCUACGGGAGGCAGCAGUAGGGAAUCUUCGGCAAUGGACGAAAGUCUGACCGAGCAACGCCGCGGGAGUGAAGAAGGUUUUCGGAUCGUAAAGCUCUGUUGUAAGAGAAGAACGGGUGUGAGAGUGGAAAGUUCACACUGUGACGGUAUCUUACCAGAAAGGGACGGCUAACUACGUG
rnacentral:rRNA from 1 species